CCGCUCUGAGAGGCCCCCUGCAGACGCCCAGAGGAGGACUUACAGACCUGCUGCUCUCUGUCUAGGAGUGCUGUGCAUCCUGAUGAUAACUGCAAUCAUUGCCUUAAGCAUUCACUCGACACCCAUACCUUCACUCUAGAAAUAAAGAAAAGCUCAUAUUUCAGUCACUUUAGAAAAGAACGAGCUGCAGACCAGGUACAACAAACUGAACAACAACAGCCAGCUCGUUUCAGGGAAGCUGUGUCCUGGAGGAUGGAAGAGAUUUGGAUGCAGUUGCUACUUUAAAUCCGAUAAGCGGAAAACAUGGUAUGAUAGCAGAUCUGACUGUGAGCAGAGAGGAGCAGAUCUGGUGGUCAUCAACAACAAAGAGGAACAGAAGUUUGUCAAUGAAUUUAAUUCACAAGGAGAGGCCUGGAUUGGUCUACAGGCCACAAAGGGAAAAUCUACACCAAAUGGAUGGGUGUACGAAUGGGAAUGGGUCGACGGAUCACUGCUGACAGAAAUGUUCUGGGAAUCAGGAACGCCAAACCAUGUCUCAAUCCAGAACACUUCAGCAUACUGCAAUCAACAUGGACAAUGGAAACAAAAACUACCAUAUCUCUUAAAUAACUGCAUCUGUGAGAAAUAGAUUUCUUGAAUGAUUUGAUGAGGGUGGGCGGCUCUGAGAUCAGCUUUGUCAAAUUGUAACAGCUAGCGUUAUACAUUGUUUAAAUGUGUUCAUUCUGUUCUGUUUGCUGAAUUACUUGGAAUUCAUACAAAUUGUUUCUCUGGCUUUAAUGUGCGGUUUAUUCUUUCAGAUUGAUUAUAAUAAAAGUAAAUAAAGACAUGGAAUCACAUGGUCUUUACUUGGCUUUAUAUAGUUAAUUCAUACAUUUGUAUUUAGUAAAAUGGUUUUGAUACAACAGUAGUCACCAGAUCCUAAUUUUAAGCUUCCAGGAGAAGGAACCAUUUAUGAAGUUUCAUUUGAUUUCCAUUCAGCCUGUGUAAUGAGUGUUUGUUCAAAUGUACUUCAAGGGACUGCAAUUAAUGUCCACAAAGCAAAAACGUACUGUUGGCUUCCAUUAUAAAUAAGUAUAUUUCCCUUAUUUUAAACCAAGACCUGGUUUGAAUCCAGAUGCAGCACUUUCAUAAAUACAUAGAUGAUGCGUCUUUGUUAGCCACUUUUACUUAAUCAGUCUUGGUUUUCCAAAGCUACAUGCAAACCAAGGUUAGUUCUUUUUUAGUCCAGAAGGUGGAGGUACUGUGCCAAAAACACACUUUAGCCAACAAAUUGUAAACAUAAAAAUACAAGGCUGCCCUUGAAUAUAAUUUGGUGUUUAACAGAGUUGUUCAAUAUCAGUAUACUGGCAGGUGUCACAUGGCACAAAUACAGGGUAAAUGCAUUAUCACUUUACAAGGGGAAAACAUACCUACUAGUUACAAUAUACAAAUGUAAAUAUG